rnacentral:rRNA from 1 species
UACGUAGGGUGCGAGCGUUGUCCGGAAUUACUGGGCGUAAAGAGCUCGUAGGUGGUUUGUCGCGUUGUCCGUGAAAACUCACAACUCAAUUGUGGGCGUGCGGGCGAUACGGGCAGACUGGAGUACUGCAGGGGAGACUGGAAUUCCUGGUGUAGCGGUGGAAUGCGCAGAUAUCAGGAGGAACACCGGUGGCGAAGGCGGGUCUCUGGGCAGUAACUGACGCUAAGGAGCGAAAGCGUGGGGAGCGAACAGG